UGUCUCAACAUGAUCAAGUGAACAAAGUAAAUAUUGAAUUUCGAAAGGUGGUAAUAUGAUACCUUUAGCAGCUAUUAUCUGUGACUUCCAGAAAUGUCCCUUAUUGCGAACCCACUCGGCAAUAAAUGGAACACCGAGGAUUGUCACUUUCCACAGCUAACUCUGAAGAAGCCAUAGAUGCCACAGCCAAAUGUCCAAUGUAAUCCUCGAACAAUUCGCUUCCAAAGAGAAGAGCAAAGACAGCAGUGGGAUCAAGCAUGGUUUCUCUGAGAUACAUAAGACAUCAACUAUCAGAGUUGAUAAAUAUCAGAAUCUUUUCAGUGUAGACAUUAAUCCCAUUAUUUAUCCAGAAUCUUCAUUUGCACUUACCAAAGAUAUUUUCCUUCUGCAAAUAUAUGAAACCAUAACCUCUUUUUGAACAUUGUAAAUACUCAGUGAUGCACUAGCUAGUUAAUAGAAUCAACUUCCAAAGCUA